rfam:Citrus clementina cultivar Clemenules unplaced genomic scaffold scaffold_6, whole genome shotgun sequence.
AUACCUUUCUCGGCCUUUUGGCUAAGAUCAAGUUUACUAUUUAUUCUUAUCAGUUUAAUAUCGGAUACGUGGGCCAUCAGCCCACAUGAUAUUAAAUUAAUUUUUGUAAGGAGAGGGUCCGCAACGGUAGCUUGCUAUCGGGUCCUCAAGCGUCGCUCUUGCAUUGCACCACUACAAGAGCCUGGCGCACCCCAU